ACAAGGGCACAAACAAUUGUAUUCCUCUGUGAAGGCCCACCAAAAUAACUUUUCCCCCGCCAGAGGGGCGCCAAGCUUCUCUAGUCCACUUUCCCGCAUUUUAUUGCUGACGUCACGAGUGAGUUGCUGAGAAUCAUGCUCCGAUAAAAUGUUCGUGAUUCUCAUUUAAAAGGCCUAUUUAUAAAAAUUGUGACGCAGUAACAUUUAAUUCCGCCUCUUGAGUCACUUUUCCAACGUGGUGAUUCUAACUUUUGUGAUCAGUGAACGUACGUAAUCGGAUAAUCCCUUGAAAAUGCCCAGACGAAACAGUUCCACCACGUGUUGUCCAUGCGCUAGGAAACAAAGAAGAAAAGAAUUCGCUUUUGAAAAAUGAGAGAAUUUGGAAGGUGAUGAAUGAUGAGUGGCCAUCUUUUCGCUGUUGUACCUGGGCCUCGGUGGGACUUUGUCGUGUUCGAAAACCAUUCAAGAAUCUUUUGCCAUCUGAAUCUCUCUCUCUGGCUGAAACAUGGACUCGUCAAAUUAAUUCAUUCAUUCAUAAUAAACCUCGGUAAAUAAACCACGAAAGAAUUAAGACGUGGGAAAAGAUUGAGAACAGCAGUUGCAGAUAAAAUUAAUGCAAGAUUGCGGUUGCAAAAUAUCUGGAUUGAAGAUUGGUUGGACAGCAGCACUACCUUGAAUUUCAAAAAAAGUUGUCUCAUACAGAUAAAUCGAUCAAACACACUUCUCUAGAACCUGAAAGUGACAUUCUGUGGUAUGGUGGUGACUGGUGAAGAAGAAAGAAGUGACCUUGAAGAAAAGUCAUCAAUUUCAUCUUGCUGUGACCCAGAACAAAUGCUGGAUUGUGCAUCAUACUGCUAUCCUUUUAACAAUUAUCUUCCGCUUCCCUUUAACAAUGAACUGGAUCCACAGAAGGCUAAUGAAGGCUGUGCUACUGCUUAUUACUGCCAAGGCAUAGGCCUACUACAGACUCUACAUCUUUACCAAAAGAGGAAGGAAAGGAAUAAGGAGUGAUCUCCCUUGCAGAUCCCAUUGAACUGUGCUACACUUUAACGGAAUUAUUUGACGCCAUCGACUGUACUGGAUUAAUGAAUGCAGUUAGCCUAGCUUCUCAACGUUGCUUGAAGGAGACUUAGUCAGGAGCCCGAAUCCGUUGUGCUCUUUGAGAAUCUGUGAAAGCCGCCCAUCUUGACUCACGCGCCAUGAUAAAGAUCCAACAAAUAGCUACUUGAUGACGAAUUCCCAAUGGUUUUGAUAUUUUGGACCAAGAUGACCUUCGAUCGGGCGAAGAAAACUUUUUACGAGGCUAAAUCAAAUGUUAUGGGUCCACUGAUGCUCCGCCUUUUGUUGAUACCCUACUACGUCUAUGAAGGACAUGUCGAAGGAUAAACAUCUCGAUCUUUCUCAAUGCGUUGGAAGCGCCCGUUACAUUGAUAAUGUCCUCAUUGCGGUUUAAAUAGCAUCGCACUUCCGCUCACCAGAAAUUCAGCGUGAAAAUAAUUUUUGUCGAAGACUGCCUCUACAAUUUGGUCAACAAAGCCUGGAAUCUCCAGUACAAGGAUCAAAACAAACUCACAUUCAAAAUGGUGUAACUGGCGAAGGAGCUCAUUCGGUUUGGAUUGGACUCAACAGUUUCAACGUUGUUCAAGACUUGCUCGUAAUUUGCUCAACAUCCUAGGCAGCGCGUCCAGUUUGGCUGAUGCCGAAUAUUUUCACAGAAACAAUCAAGGGUCAGGACAGCAUGCAAUAAUCGAAGAAAUGGAAACCCCUGACGGAGAGGGUGUGCUGUGGUCGUUGAGUGACAUAUUCACCGUCAUGACCACUUGCCCAGUUUAGACCUGGGAACGGCCGGAUUUGCCAAGUCUCCCAAGCAUCUUUGAUAAUCACCACACGGAAAUCAUGAGAGGUUCGGACUUCGAUAAAGUGAUGCCGAGUUUGGAAUCGUGGAUCAUCGAGUCAUUCAUUCGGCUGGAGAAGAUCUGGGUUCUCUUAGAUGACUCGGCGCAACAACUCACACAUCUCAUCCAGCGGAGCAACUCGCUACUUCACACCCGCCAUUUAGUGAUCCAGCGAAGAAACCCUCACUGCUCUGCCGCAUAUUCCUCGGCGCACUACGCUUUCUAACCCAUUCUUAGCGACAAGAGAAGCAACUCAAAAGGAAAGAACCAAGGAGUGUUUAACGAGAUCUCUUUUUAAAUUGCCAAACGUAAUCAUCCCCACUCUUCGAUGGGCAAAGGUCGAGCGCGAGGAAUAUCCCGGCGUUCCAGGUGUUGCAAAACGCUUUUGGUCUCAACGCCUCCGCGCAUUUCGUCGCACGUGAAUGCAACUCCCAUCCGGCUGCUGCAUAACGCGGUUGGACACCUUUCAGAGCUGUCCAGGAGUCGUCACUUCUACUUGGGCGUCAGUCUUUUGCCCGCGGCCCAUCUUCACGACGAUGCAGGCCGUUGGUGGUCUGCAACAUCCUGCUGGGUCUGGUAGUCAUGGCGACGGACAUAGAUAGCCUCUACGCGUUGGUCAAGUGCAACGGAAAGCCUAGCUCGAGAUGGAACACAUCUGCGGCUACCAGACGCUGACAUACCUCCUGGAACACCUCAAGACUUGGCUCAACAACCACAUCCAUCAUCUAUAUAUGAUCCUCGUCCUAAUCGGGUUCGAACAGCAUAACAUCAAGGCCACAAACGAGCCCAACAACAGCCUGGCAUUCGGGGACUUGCUGGCUUAUCUUGACGAAAUAUUCUUCCGGCGUACGGAACUCCCCUCCAGUCAUCUCCAGUCACCUCCGGAUUACGCCCAUUGCUCCUGCUGUCACACGAUGUCUACGCGGAAGAAAACGAAAAUCUGAGAUAAAUUCUUAGUCACAACGCAACUUCCUUUGUUCAGGGAUUUGCCCGCUUGACGCCCAUCGCUGCAAGCUGUCAAGGAGCUGAAGCGGCCCGUAGGCCACAUGAUCGGGGCCGAGAGGUCGGCCUUGGUGGUCGUCGAGGAAAACAAGUGCAUCCUGCCUCCCAACUACACGCGCAACUGAAAACUAACUGCGCAGCCCGCGGCUACGCCGGCCACUCCAUCCGCCUGGUCCCGCACGACUCGGACAAGGCCCUGAUGAUCUGCGAUGCGCCGUUCCACCAGAAGAUCCUGACCUGCAUUUGCCGACUGGCCGGGUCGUGGUGAUGGGCAACACGGUCGUCACCGUCUGGGCCCUGGGCAAGAAGCAAUUUUCGGUCCUCUAGCAAUUCUACGGCCACACGGAGGCCGUCACUUGCCUGCCAGCCUCGGCCGGCUAUGAGAUCCUGGUUUUGGGAUCGAAACAGCCAGACCGGCCAUCGUCAAGGAUUUGUCACGUUUGACUUUCAUCCGCCAGUCGACGAGGCACAACGCGCCGCUGGCGGCCAUCGACAUCAACAUCAACGACCUGACGGGCGACUCCACCUUCUUCGGCACUUGGCUCCACCUCUGGUCCAUCAACGGCCCUCCGCUGGCCAGCGUCAACACCCUGGUGGCUGGUGGGCCAGAUCGGCCGUUCUCAUCAGCACAUCCUCUUCGUCUGCUUCUCGCAGUUGAACGAGUGGGGUCCUUGAGCGUCAUCCUGACGGGAUCGACGGACGGAGUAGUCGAAUGUCGAAUGUAGUCCCUUGACUACGUCCAGGUUCCCAACAAUGAAAAGCUGGCACACCCCCACUGGCCAAUUGGCCAUCAGGCCAAAGGUGUGGAAACAUUCAGACGCCGUGGUUCCAUUGAAAGGUUAUCAACUGCGUCAUGAGUUUGUUAAUUGCCAUUAGCUUAUGACUUUAACGACUCGACCAAACCUUAUGAUCAGAUUCUUUUUUUUUUUAUAUAAACAUAUGGUAAAUGACAUCACAUGGACUCGUGAAGUCGUUGAUUAUUGUCGGCGUAUUAUGUGCCCUAAGUAAGUGUGUAACGAGAACUGUUGGCGUUGAAUUAGAAUUUUGUUGCUUUUGUGGUAUUCUGCUGGUAUUUGGAACCAUCCGUGAAUCAUUACCACCAACAGAUGCACUUCGACGUGCUUGAAGAAAAUCACGGUUACCGAUUUCAUUUGCCAACUCCUAGUAACUACGCAUUUGAUUUCCCUGAAAGGAUUUGGUGUUCAGUCUUACUGGACUGUUUAUCAGAAAUGACAGCCAAGGACUUUAAUCACGAGAAAAAAGAAACUUAGGCGUUUGCUGGAGGAUUACCCUGGUCCAGGUGUAAUGGGACGUUUGGCUUUUGAGGCUGCUGUGAAUUGUGAACUUGUUUUUCAACCCUGGUAAUCUGUCACGUCGCCAUGUUCGCUUGGCUCAUGGACAAGGUGGGACGACCAAUUCGGGACAAAAUGCUGGACGCUCCUUGGCGAAUUACCUCAAGAGUCAAAAAAUCGUCCAGUUUCAUCGACGAUGCGACCUCUUGCUGGGAUCUGGAUGGAGAAAAUGUUGGACCAAUUCUCGCUACCUUUUGCCGAUGCGUGGAUCGAAGGAUGGCACGAGAUAGGAUACACGAGGUUUUCGGAAUUCCGGUUGGGAUUCAAUGUUACCGGUCUGGACAUGUCUGGAAAACAACAGGGCAACCAUAGCGGUGAAUCCACAAACUAAAGAAGAUUAAAGUGUAUUAAAAAAUAAUUUCUUAAUUCUUAUUACUUUUGUAUGCAUUGCGUUCGGUUGUACCGUGUAUAAUUUAAUAUGUUUUGAAAUACGUGGGAAGUAUACAUUUGUAUGUUUUUUUUAAUGGUUUUAGCCUAAAACAUUCCACGUUAAUUAUUUUUGGAUUCUUCUGCAUCACAUCAAUCUGUUUCUAAGUGGGUUUGUAAAAUCGUUAACGAAGCUGUUGCCAAAUAGCCGAUAAAAAUUUGUUAAUGACGACAGACUAAAAGACAAGUUUCAUCGCCAUCUAUGAUUCACAUUUACAACUACUGAUGUGGAACAACAAUAAGUCUUCGUUACGUUACGUCAGACCGCAGCCAUUUUUUUGUAGCACUGAUUGUGAUUGUUGAUUUGAAGGAUGAAAGCUGAUCAUGUGGCCUACAUUUUGCCAAGAUGUCGUCUCUUUUUCCUGUACGUACCGGCUGUACGAUUUGUAAGAAACACUUCAGUCUGGUAAAGUUUGAGCUUCGUCAUUGCUGCCCAAUGUUAACAUGGAUUUGAUGCAGCCAGCUGGUAAAGGGUGUUCUUCUUGCUACCUGUACUGCUGUGUGUUUCGUCAAAUGAAGAAACAUGAACAACUGUAUUUCAAUCAACUUUCUAAUUGUCUGGCUGAUUCAAAAGCUUGCUUACCGACACUGAGAGGUUAAUCGUGUAUGAUCGCGUAGUUGGUGUCCGCUGUGGUACGUUGUUGCAGCCUAUGCUGGUGAUAGAUCUUUCUGCAUCAAGUUCAGUUGGGCAGUUGGCCGUGCUGGUGUCGUGUUACCGAAGUUGCAUUAUUACUUUAUUAAAUUAGCAUUGUAUCAAUGUAGUGCUUUAAUAUGUUAAGAAGAAACAAAAAAGAAAUAUGGGGAUGUGUUUAUGUCAAACAAAUAAUAAACAUGUUUUUGGGGUUGGGAAAGUAAAGUGGUGGAUGUUGGAGGGGGGAGGGAGGAUAUUUCAAGUUUGGAUAAACCUACUAAUGUAUCCCUACCAAUGAAUCUCCAAACCCCAAAAAUAUAUACCUUUCAAUCCUUCAAACCCCUUAAAUAUACACCUACCAACUCUAAAUCUAUACCCUUAACCCUAUAAACCAAUGUUAAACCUUAACCAUGUAAUAUCUGUAAUAAAUAAAAAAAGAUACACUAUAUAAACUAAGUUU